rnacentral:sRNA from 1 species
GUAGGGGACACUUCCCACUGAGGGUUUCCCGGCGUAAGUUCCUGAACAAUUUGCGGAAAUUGGUGUGGGUCGUAUUGUCCCCCCCUCUCCGCCAGAUUGAGGCGAGUAGGUGCGCCAGUGCCGCGUGGGUUUCGCCGGCGGCAUUGGGGGGUGAGA